rnacentral:rRNA from 1 species
ACGCUUGAAGUCAGUCGCGUUGGCCGGAAAUCAACCUUGCUUCUGUGGGGUGUACUUUCUGGUUGACGGGUCAGCAUCAGUUUUGACCGGUGGAAAAAGUCCAAGGGAAUGUGGCAACUCCGGUUGUGUUAUAGCCCUUGGUCGUAUACACCGAUUGGGACUGAGGAAUUCAGCACGCCCGCAAGGGCCGGGUCUUUGACCACGUUCGUGCUUAGGAUGCUGACAUAAUGGCUUUAAUCGACCCGUCUUGAAACACGGACCAAGGAGUC